GAGACUGCAGCUCUGGAUAAUAGCGUUUAUGUCUUUCUCAGGAUGGACUUCAUCCAAAGGAGAAUGUGUCAAGACCCAAGAGUUGAGAACACAUCUGUUUCUAAUCAAAUUCAUCAUAUAUCUGAAUUUUCCUCCCUCCCAUUUAUAUGGAGAUGAAUAAGGAGAAUGGAACCAGGUUUACUAUGUAUCUACUUUGUACCCAGA
rnacentral:lncRNA from 1 species